rnacentral:rRNA from 1 species
CCUACGGCGUGCAGCAGUGAGGAAUAUUGGUCAAUGGCCGGGAGGCUGAACCAGCCAAGUCGCGUGAGGGAAGACGGCCCUACGGGUUGUAAACCUCUGUUGUCAGGGAGCAAGGUGCAGGUCGGGACCUGCUGUGAGAGUACCUGAAGAAAAGGCAUCGGCUAACUCCGUGCCAGCAGCCGCGGUAAUACGGAGGAUCCGAGCGUUAUCCGGAUUUAUUGGGUUUAAAGGGAGCGUAGAUGGGUUGUUAAGUCAGUUGUGAAAGUUUGCGGCUCAACCGUAAAAUUGCAAUUGAUACUGGCAGUCAUUAGGACAGUGGAGAUAGGCGGAAUUCGUGGUGUAGCGGUGAAAUGCUGAGGUAUCACGAAAAACUCCGA